rnacentral:RNase_P_RNA from 1 species
UGAGCCGGCCGGGUAAUCGCGGCCCCCGAACCACCACCCCUCGCGGGUGCAGGCGGGUGUCGAGGAAAGUCCGGACUCCACAGAGCACGGUGAUUGUUAACGGCAACCCGGGGCGACCCGCGGGCACGUGCAACAGAAAGUAAACCGCCACGAUCCUCCGGGAUCGAGGUAAGGGUGAAAGGGUGCGGUAAGAGCGCACCGGCAGGCCAGGUGACUGGUCUGGCCAGGUAAACCCCACCGGGAGCAAGGCAUCAAGGUCUGCCACGUCGCAGGCCGGAUCGGAUGACUGAGGGUGACUCGCCCGAGUCCGAAGGUAGCUGCUUGAGGCGGCCAGCGAUGGUCGACCCAGAUGGAUGAUUACCGCCCCAUAAAAGGGUACAGAAUCCGGCUUAUAGGCUGGCUCAUUCG